GCCCCUGACUCUGGGAUAAGCGUUGGAAACGACGUCUAAUACUGGAUAUGACUGCUGGCCGCAUGGUCUGGUGGUGGAAAGAUUUUUUGGUUGGGGAUGGACUCGCGGCCUAUCAGCUUGUUGGUGAGGUAAUGGCUCACCAAGGCGACGACGGGUAGCCGGCCUGAGAGGGUGACCGGCCACACUGGGACUGAGACACGGCCCAGACUCCUACGGGAGGCAGCAGUGGGGAAUAUUGCACAAUGGGCGAAAGCCUGAUGCAGCAACGCCGCGUGAGGGAUGACGGCCUUCGGGUUGUAAACCUCUUUUAGUAGGGAAGAAGCGUAAGUGACGGUACCUGCAGAAAAAGCACCGGCUAACUACGUGCCAGCAGCCGCGGUAAUACGUAGGGUGCAAGCGUUGUCCGGAAUUAUUGGGCGUAAAGAGCUCGUAGGCGGUUUGUCGCGUCUGCUGUGAAAUCCCGAGGCUCAACCUCGGGCUUGCAGUGGGUACGGGCAGACUAGAGUGCGGUAGGGGAGAUUGGAAUUCCUGGUGUAGCGGUGGAAUGCGCAGAUAUCAGGAGGAACACCGAUGGCGAAGGCAGAUCUCUGGGCCGUAACUGACGCUGAGGAGCGAAAGCGUGGGGAGCGAACAGGAUUAGAUACCCUGGUAGUCCACGCCGUAAACGUUGGGCGC
rnacentral:rRNA from 2 species